CACGAACGCUGGCGGCGUGCCUAAUACAUGCAAGUCGAGCGGACAAGAAGGGAGCUUGCUCCCGGAUGUUAGCGGCGGACGGGUGAGUAACACGUGGGUAACCUGCCUGUAAGACUGGGAUAACUCCGGGAAACCGGAGCUAAUACCGGAUAGUUCCUUGAACCGCAUGGUUCAAGGAUGAAAGACGGUUUCGGCUGUCACUUACAGAUGGACCCGCGGCGCAUUAGCUAGUUGGUGGGGUAAUGGCUCACCAAGGCGACGAUGCGUAGCCGACCUGAGAGGGUGAUCGCCACACUGGGACUGAGACACGGCCAGACUCCUACGGGAGGCAGGCAGUAGGGAAUCUUCCGAAUGGACGAAAGUCUGACGGAGCACCCCGCGUGAGUGAUGAAGGUUUCGGAUCGUAAAGCUCUUUUGUUAGGGAAAAACAAGUGCUAGAGAACUUGCUCGCACCUGGCGGUACCUAACCAGAAAGCCCGCUUACUACGUGCCACCAGCCGCGUAAUACGUAGGUGGCAAGCGUUGACCGGAAUUAUUGGCCUAAAGGGUUCAAGGCGGCUUAUUAAGUUUGAUUGGUAACCCCCCGAUCAACCGGGGGGGUUUUUGGAAACUGGGAAAAUUUGUUCCAAAAAAAGAAAGGGGAAUUACACUGUUGUGGGAAAAAAAGCUAAAAAAAUUUUGGAGAAACCCCCAAAGGGGGGAGGGGCCGUUUUUUGGUUUGGAAACUAACCAUUAAGGAACCCAAACCCUUGGGGGCCCCAAAAAAAUAGAAAAAAUCCUUGGGAACCCCCCCCCCCAAAAAAAAAAAGGGGUUUAAAGUUUCAGCGGGGUUUCCCCCCCCUUUUCGGGCGGGGGAAAAAAAAAAGAGAAAA
rnacentral:rRNA from 1 species